CGCGGCGCCAUUGCGUUCGGGCGGAGCUUGUAUGCCGGCGACCGGCAACCGGGACUCCCGGGGCUCCAGUGUUGCAGGUGGUUGGGUUCCGGCUUGGCGGCCCCCGAACCUGAGGACGUAGGCGGAGCGAGCUUGUCGGCGCGUGAUUGGAGAGGCGGCUGCUCUUUCGUGGAGUUCUGCGGCCUUAGGGUGUAGGGUGGGUCUCCUCCAUUCCGCACUCGCACCCUUUACUUUUUCCCUCCCUUUUUGUUUAUCCCGGUGACCAGAGUUUUCUGGACUAUGUACAGUGUGCUGGACGGCGUUCUAGGUGCUUUGGCGGUUACACAGUGGACCUGAAAAGGACCCUUGCCUAGUAUCCUAAGGCCUAGGGAAGAAGAGAUAUAAGGCAAGGUGGAAAGUGCUAGAAGCCUUUAGAAAGCUACCAGAUUGGGGCGAUGGCAGUUGAGAAGCAAGAGUCUGUUCACCCUUCGGGCUUAUGCUGAGACCUCAGGGUCUCAAGGCACGUUUGAAAACUCAAACUCGGCCAAGCGGUGGUGUCCAGCCUGUGAGAGGACUCCCUUAUUCUGAAAGAUGUCCACAGUUGUUUCUAGUAUCCAGUUCCCGCCUCCCACCUAGAUACCAGCAUAUGGAAUCUUAAUUCCCUGACCAGGGAUCAAACCUGUGCUACCUGCAAAUGUUCGGGGUUUCUCUCAUUGUGAUCUGGGAAAAACUGAAUGGGUUGUGCCCCAAACCUGCAAACAUUUUCUUACUGAUGAAAUGUGAGAAUAUUGAACUUCAAAGUCACGUGUGACCUCGGAGCCUCAGGACUCUUGUUUCUGUAUAGAACUGUGUUUUUUGAGAGGUCUGGUAGCAAAGGACAGGGAUGCUGUGUCCCAGCCUCGCUCCAGCAUCCCCUCUGUGUGAAUCACCAGUUUGGAGGGAGCCUGCAGACGUGAACUGUCAGUAUCAGAGGUUUUCGUUGUUUUAGGGUAGGACCUCACUGCCUAGUUCCAGACAGCUCUGCCCAAAGGUAAACGUUUGUGGGCAAUGACUCCUUAUUUAUAGUAGUCAACAUAAAACUAGCUGGGCAAGUGAUACCAAGAAGAAAGUAAGAGGACCCCCUCAAAAAGCUGGGGGUGCAAAGACUCAUUUUGUCACUCAUGGUUUUCUGCAUUUUAGCUGCGAAUGUGAGCAGUUUUUGCAGUUCUCUUGGGACUUAAAUUCCUACAAGAGCAUAAAGCCAAG
ensembl:lncRNA